UAGGGAAUCUUCGGCAAUGGACGAAAGUCUGACCGAGCAACGCCGCGUGAGUGAAGAAGGUUUUCGGAUCGCAAAACUCUGUUGGUAGAGAAGAACGUUGGUGAGAGUGGAAAGCUCAUCAAGUGACGGUAACUACCCAGAAAGGGACGGCUGACUACGUGCCAG
rnacentral:rRNA from 1 species